GCAGUGACUCAGAGACCAGACCCUCUGUCUCCAGUAGUAGGAAAUCAUUAGACUACACUCUUUCCCCUACAGUCUUUGCAGUGGCUGCACUGAGCUUCAAUACGUCUGUCAGCAUGUCCGCAUGGACCCUGGAACGUACGAGUCAGCCGGCAUUACCUUAUGGAAUAUCUCGUUAUACUGGGAGACCAGACUGCACCCUUCAAUGAGCCGAACCGGAACUGGGAUCAGAACCGGGUUUGUUAUCACUGUCACUGUCACUGUGAUUUUCCAGCAGCAACGUUCGUUUCGCCUCCGUGCAUUUGUCUGGAAGCUGCCCUUCCCAGGCCGUCCCUGCGAACAUGCAGAGAGGAAAAUUGUCAGCGUCAUUCACCUUCAAACACCCCAGUCCUUCCAGCUAGUCUCGGAAGAAAAUCCAAAAAGUUGGUCUCUGUGCUCUUCUACUCAGACUGGAGGAGAAACACUUCACCUUCCAGCUGGGUAGCCUCCAACCUGAUGGCAUAAACAUCGAUUUGUCUAGCUUCUGGUGCUGCUCUACCCACUGAGUUCCUCCAGCAGAUCAUUUGCUGCUCCACAUUCCAGGAUUUGAACUCUCCGCGGCCUUCAACAGAAAUCAUAGCUGUGCUGACCCUGACUGGCCGGCAGCUUGUUAGUCAUUCACAUGGGAAUAAGGGCAGGGGUGUAAUCCUGGGGUAAAUCCCUUCAAGUUCUCUUUGUUUCAGCAAACAGAGCCAGGAAGCUACUGGCUGGAAGGAGUAAGGCUGACGGCAAAGCUUACUUUGGACAGUACAGUCACAUGUGGUUAGCAACAACACUUUGCAAUGUAAGACUGGAGUUUGAUUCCUGCCACAGUCCGUAAGGAGAUUAUAAAUUCUCCUCGUGACCACGUGAGUUUCCUCCGGGUCUCCCGUUUCCUCCCACAGUUUGAGGAUGUACAGUAGGGGUUAGGGAUAGUGAGUCGUGAGCAGAGUAUGUUGGCGGUGGAGGCGUGGCGACACUAACAGGC